AUCCAGUUGACGAGUCUCAAAUGGGACGAAACGCUCGUCUAACUGGAU
rfam:Schistosoma curassoni strain Dakar, Senegal genome assembly, scaffold: SCTD_scaffold0002159